rnacentral:lncRNA from 1 species
AGGGAUUUCCAACGAUACAUAACAUGCCAAAGAUCAUUAUUCCCACAGAUUUUAGUCAUCCCUACUCUUGAGCAUAUACUUAAUCAUAGUUACCAUUCACUAGCUCACAUUUAAUCGUUUAAAACAACAUUAUGGACGUAGUAACAUGCCUUAGAGAAUCCACUCAAUUCCUUACUGGAUACACUCUUAUUUUCACACAGAUUUUCUAACUACACUCCCUAUACUAAGUAUAUGUGAGAAGAUUGAUGUAAACAUGGAAACGAACACUCACACAUGUUAUAAAAGAAGCACUUUUCUGGAAUGAUUAAGCAUUUAUAGAUAUGAUCUCAUGAAUGGAACGCUACUACUUAGAUGCGAGAACCAGGGACACCAUAUGCUCAAACCAAUCCCAAACUCCACAUAUUGAAAUACAUAACACUCAAGAUAGAAGUUAAGGAUUGUAACGGGGCUAAGGGGUAUUGGCUAACUGAAGGAUUAUUUUGUGAAAA